rnacentral:rRNA from 1 species
CGUGUCGUGAGAUGUUCGGUUAAGUCCGCUAACGAGCGCAACCCUCGUCGUAUUGUUAUAUGUGUCAUACGAGACUGCCGGUAAAAGCCGGAGGAAGGUGAGGAUGAUGUCAAGUCAGCAUGACCUUUAUAUCCCAGGGCUACACGACACGCUACAAUGGUCUGUACAAUGGGUAGCCAAGCCGCGAGGCGGAGGCCAAUCCUGAAAGCAGGCCUCAGUUCAGAUUGCAGUCUGCAACUCGACUGCAUGAAGCCGGAGUUGCUAGUAACCGCAGGUCAGCAAUACUGCGGUGAAUACGUUCCCGGGUCUU